rnacentral:rRNA from 2 species
AGACCGAUAGCGAACAAGUAGAGUGAUCGAAAGAUGAAAAGCACUUUGAAAAGAGAGUUAAACAGCACGUGAAAUUGUUGAAAGGGAAGCGUUGUCCACCAGACUCGCCCGGGGGGGUUCAGCCGGCACGUGUGCCGGUGUACUCCUCUCCGGGCGGGCCAGCAUCGGUUUGGGCGGCUGGUGAAAGGCCCCGGGAAUGUAACACCCUUCGGGGUGCCUUAUAGCCCGGGGUGCCAUACAGCCAGCCUGGACCGAGGCCCGCGCUUCGGCGAGGAUGCUGGCGUAAUGGUGGUCAACGGCCCGUCUUGAAACACGGACCAAG